AGUGACUUCCGCCCCUAGGGAGCGACAGCUGUUCUUCCAGCUCUUUUCAGUGGGUAGCUGGUCUUCGGGGCUGUCACGGCUGUCCCCUAAUCCUAUUGUUUCUGCCUUGGCGGGACAUUUGUUCUGCUUACCUGCAGGGGUAUUGCCCUCAUUUUACGGGUUGGAAAACUGAGGGUGGAUUAAGGUUGUUGACCUGUCCGGACUAUAUAGCUGGUAGUGUAGUCGGAACUCAGUACAAUCGAAACUAAAUCUGAUUGUUGUCUCAAACGUGAUGUCCACGUCGUGUGAUGGCCAGGCAGUAUUUUCAGAUUAAAUAUCUAUUGAGAGAAUGAGUGAAAGAGCUAGCCAUCGCUAGCCUCCACCUGGUACCUGAUGAGAAGAUGACCCGUGGCUCCUAUUCAUGGCAGAGGAGAUUAGCAUCUCAAAGGGCCAGAAGGCAUGGGCUGGAGCUCUCUCAGCUUCUGCGAUUGGCUUCAAAAAUCUCUUCCUAUCAUUUUGGACUAAUGGCAUUUGUCAUCCAGUGAAGGUUAGUGAAACCAAUGUUUGAUAACCACCUCCUCCACCCUGACCCUUUGUGGAUGUGCCAAGGGGCAGCUGCAAAACCACUGAAAGCAUCUUAAAUGAUACAAUGCAAAGAGACUUCUGGUUAAAGAUGGUGGCUUCACGAUAUGUAUUUCCCUCUUCUCCCUCCUGAGACGCCACUACAGAAGUGAAAAAGGAAGCAAGUCACAAUGAUUCAAAGAAUGAAAGAUCAUUAGUGGUUUUCCCUUACAUAAGGCUGGGAGGAUAAUAGUUCCUACUGCAAAGGACUGCUUUCAGGACUAAUGGCGUACACAUCCUGGAAAAAACUUUUGUCUCUGGGGUUUGCUUUCUCUUGCUUGCUCUGAGGGAGGCCAGCUACCGUGUCCCAUCCCAUGGAAAGGCCCAGGUUCAAGGAACUGAGGAGAGCCUUCAGCCAGUGGCCAGUAAGGAAGUGAAUCCUGCCGAAGACCAGGGGAGUGAGUGUGGAAGUGGCUCCUCCUGCACUCGAGCCUUCAGAUGAGACUGUGACCUGGUGGACAGCUUGGUUGCAGCCUUGUGAGAGGACCCAGCUACGCCAUGUCCUGACUCCUGACCCACAGCAACUGUGAGGUCCAGCAAGUGUGAUGCUCAAGCUUGGGCCAUGAUUACCGCAAGAGAUUGAAGACAUUGGCUUUAUGGAAGAUGUGCACUGAACAUGCUCUGGGCACCAGUGGUCCAUUUAAGGGCUUAUUGCCUCCAGGAUACUUCUCUUGUCCACCUGAUGCAAAAUAAUUCCUCUCUAUGACGAUGUUCCAGCUGGAAUGAAGGAAGAAGUGGAUAAGAAAGGAUUCCCUCCCUUGAAGAUAUAACCUAGGAGUUCUGUGCAUCACUUCUGGUCAUUUCUCACUGGCAAGAACUCUUCUUAUGGUCACACAAGAGAGGCUGGCAAAUUUGGCUUUUAUUCUGAGAAACCCUAUGUCCAGCUGAAAAUGAAGGGAUCUGUUACUGUGGGAGAAAAGGAUAACAGAUAGUGGGAACAACUAGCAGCCUCGGCCACAGUCCAUCCCCUUGUUACCCAAACUUCCAUGUUCCAAAUCAUCCCUACACCAAAGGAGACAACUCCAAGAUUCCUUGUAGCUACUGAACCCAUAUCAAAGUCUACGAUCUCUGAGUAAGGCACAGUCCUCUCCAUUAGGUCUGUGUGCAGCUCGUUCUUCAUGGGGCAAUGACUUAAAAAAUGCAAGAUAAAUCAUCUGCCUCUCAGAUAGUCAAUAUACAACGAUGAAGCAGGGUCUGGAAAAUAAUAAAAAAUCCCAUUUGGAUGGAGGCAAAGGUGAAACACAGAACAGCAAAUGCCCCCUAACAAUGGACCAAACCCCAUGGCCCAUCCAGGAUCAUUCCCUGUCUUGGAGGAACUCUUGAGUUCAUCAUCUUUGAUGUCUUCUGGCCUUACCAUUUUGGAAUGUUCUUUCUUGUUCAUUAUCCGUCCUGGCCACAUUUGAGAUUGGCCAUUCAGAGCAGGUUCUCCUUUUGGACUAAAAAGCUUUUGGAACAUGUCAAGUCAAUCCUUUGUCAAACACCCAUAGUCAGCUCUUUUGUUUAGAAGAAAGAUUUUACACCUGAAGGGUCUGUUUUGAAUUUGCUUCUGUGCUUUGCUCAUUACUCUGUCUUUCAAGUUAGUGGCAGCUAACUAGUUGCACCUAAAACAAAGACUUCAUUCAUCUAAUCAUUUCCUUGAGGCUGGCUCCAAUUUUCUGGCAAAAAUAUCUUUUAAAAGAAGGUGUUGAAUAAAUUUGGAGGCCUGGUUUUUAUCUCCUGCUAAGUCUGGCACUGCAGCGCUCUCACUACUAAUAGCUGUAUUUUUGGGGUAUAGAAGCAAUUUUCAACUUUGAAAAACCCCAAACAAAUAAGCUCCUGGUCAAUUUAGAUUGUUAACCACAGGCAGAGUGUGUUGCAAUGCUAUAUUUUCUUUCAUUUCUAUUAACACACUGGCCAUCUUUAUUUUGGAUUUAUAUCUCUUCUUUAGGAUUUUGCUGAAAGCCACAAGAAGUGGUAACUCAGACCAACAUACUAUAUAUAUUAUAUAUGUAUUCCUCUAGCACUAUAGCCUCAUUGAAUGUGUGUUCUAUCUCCCAAAGCAGUGCCUCGCUAUAUUGCCAAAUGUUUAGUCUCUGGAUAACAAGGAUUACUAAAUUUCCAACUUGCAAUAUUUUGAGUCAACACUGCCCAUCACCCAGACAGUAUUCUGAAGUCACAUGGAUGUUUGUCUCUGUUAUGUUCAGCAUUCCACUUUAAGGUACCAAAAUUAGGUGAGUAUGUGCCUAGCAGAAAUAGUGGCUUUAACAGACAAACAGUUAUUUCUCAUAUAAAACGCUAGAAGUACCCAGUCCAGGUCUGCAAGAAGGAGGUUCUGCUCCAUGAAAUCCUUAAGGACUCAGGGUCUUUCUUUUUGCUUUACCAGUCUUUUUUAUUUUAUUUUUUGCUUUUUAGGGUCGCACCCCAGGCUAGGGGUUGAAUCAGAGCUGUACUGCCAGCCUACACCACAGCCACGGCAACUCGGGAUCCAAGCCAUGUCUGUGACCUACACCACAGCUCAUGGCAACGCCAGAUCCUUAACCCACUGAGCAAGGCCAGGGAUCGAACUUGCAACCUCAUAGCUCCUAGUCGGAUUCCUUAACCACUGAGCCACGAUGGGAACUCCUGCUCUACCGGUCUUUAAGGUGUUGCCCUUAUCCUUAUGCUUUUAGAAGCACCACAACACAGAGUGAUUUGUUCUGGUUUGCCUGGGACUUUCUUGGUUUUAGCAUUGAAAGUCCCAUAUCCUGGGAAAACCCUCAGUGCUGGGAAAACGGGUACAGUUGUUCACUACUCUGUAUCCACCCCAGUUCGAUGUACUACAAUAUAGUUCUGAUGCCAAGCAUCUAGAGUUAACAUCAGAUCCCAGAAGUUAAGGGCUCAUUCUUUCACAAGACUUUCCCCUCUUUAGAUAGCAGCUGCAAAGGGGUCCCCAGGCCACGUGAACCAAUUGGCUGACAAAUUGGCUACCAGUCUAGGAGGUUCCCACCACUCCACACAGGGGUGAUAAUUUGCUAGAAUGAUCCAUAGAACUCAUUGAAAGAUGAUAUUUAUGAUUAUAGUUUCAAAAAGAUAUUCCUAGGAAGAGGUCUAGGAGGGUCUUGAUGCAGACCUUCCAUGCCCAAUGCCUGUGGAGUCAGGGUGCAUCAUCCUUCCAACAUGUCAAGGUGUGCACCAAUCAGGAAGCUCCUCCUAGCUUUGGUGGCCAGAGAUUUUAUUGGAGUUUCAUCACAUGUGUAUGAUUGAUUAAAUCAUUGACUUCAUGAUUAAACUCAAUAUCUAGCCCUCUGCCCCUCCCCAGAAGUUGGGUGGUUGAAAGUCCCAGCUCUUCCGUCAUGUACUUGGUCCUUCUGUGACCAGCCUCUGUGCUGAAGCUUCCUAGGGUCCCACCAUGAGUUAUUUCAUUAGCAUACUAGAGAUGCUCCUAUCAUUUAAGAAAGCCCCAGGGUUUUUGAAGCUCCAUGCCAGGAACCUGGGAAAAAGACCAGACAAAUUAUUUACUAUACCACAGCCGACUUACAUCCACCAUGUCUAUAUUUCCAUCAGCAGGAAGGUGAAAAGUGUCAAGAAGUCAGUUUGAGGGUAUGAUCAGAAAACUGUACAUGUUACUUCUGUUUACAGUUCAUUGGCCAGCACUUCGACAAUGGCCAUUCUAAACAUGAGAGGUUGGGAAAGGUACUCUUCAUUCUGAGCACCCAUGUUCCAUGGGUUUUAUUUUUACAGGAAAAAGAAGAAUAGAUAGUGAGGUACAAUUCCCAGCCUAAGCCACAUUUUGUUCUUUGAUACUUUAUUAAGCCUGCACCUUGUGGUUGAUGUCCUGUUUUAGUUUGUAGGAUACUACGAGAUUGGUAUGCAGUAUUUCUAUUGCUUCUCAGUUCUAAAUAUUUUGUAAUUUCCCUUGUAAUUUCCUCUAUAACCAUGGGUCACUUAAAAUUUUUUUUCUUAAUUCACAAAAUGAUAAUUUCAUUUUUAGUAGGCAUUUUGUUGAUUUAAAAUUGAAAUCUCUUGCUAUCAUGGAAUAUGAACUUAGGAGAUCAAUUCUCUGAAAUUUAUUGACUUUGAGACAUACUACAUGAUCAAUUUUGGUAAAGUUUUGAUGGGAGCUCAAAAAAGUCUCUAUUGUCUGAUGUGAGAUCAAAAUAUGAGCUCUUACCACUGUGUUGAUCAAAAGUCCAUAUCUAUAUCUUUUUUCUCCAAAAAAGUAGGAUUACAUUGUAUAUAUUAUCUUGGAAAAUUCUUUUAAAAUGUAAUACUGUAUUAUGGAAAUAUUUCCAUAUUAAAUACCUGUGAGUUGGUACACAUCCUUAAUUAUUUAAUCAUUAUAAAGUUUGUGCCUGGGAUUGCUCCUUCAAAGGGAAUGCUCUUUAAAAAGGCUUUUUCUAAAUUAUUGCCACGAUUGGCAGUUUGCCCCCAAGAGGGGUCAAACCAAUUUUUACUUCCUUCAGUCCUGCAGAAUGUUGUCCAUUUUUCAUACCAUCUUGAUUAUUGUGUAUCAUCAUAAUUUUUUCUUUGCUGAUAGCCAAAGUACCUCCUUUUGCUGAUGAGAAAGAAGCUUUAAAACAUACAGCAGUUGGCAAAAAUAAAGCAGAGGGAGCUCCAGGAUGGAUUCUGACUCUCAUUUCCUGCCCAGGACAGGGGGUGGAAAAAAUGACAAAAAUCCAGCUGUGCCUCUCUUUCACAUCCAGAAUUGUGAAUUGUAGAAUUCAUUUAUUCUGUCCAGCACCAACUGGGCUGAAUCUUGUGAAAGAGAUCUCCUUCUCCUGAGGGAUGAAUCAAACCUGCCAAUAACUAUGCCUCAUCCAGGACACAAGAGCUUGACAAAUAUUUUUUUCGGCAAAUGUGUUUUCUUAGCAGGAAGCCGGUGAACAAUCAAGUGUCUCUUUUACUGGCUGUGUAGCUCAGCUGGAUCCUAGUAGCUCUGGUCUCUGCCCAAAUGUUUUUAGGACUUCCCUUCAGAAGCUGGCAGCACAGGGACCACCCACCUCUCUCAGUCAAGGUUAUUGGUCCUUUGGAAGCAGCAAUGUAACCACUUAGGUACAGAAACUAAAAUAACAAUUGAAUGUUCAUACUUCUGGUCCCAUUUGAGCCACACACCGCCUUGUGAGCUAAGAAUGAUUAUUGCUCUUUUGUAAACGAAUGCACUGAGGGUUAAAAAAGGGGAGGGAAAUUUUGUUGGUUUACACAGCUAGAAAGAGACCUUCCCUGACUACCUUCGUUAUAUAUAACCUGCUGUCCCCCGAAAGUCACCAUCAACAUUAGUCUAUUUUCUUAACACCACUGAUCACAAGGUGUAAUUACUGCCAUCUUUCUUUCCUGAUUGUGAGACCAGACUCCAAUCCGGUCCUCAUCUAGUUCUCAUGCUGUUGUGCAGUCUCCUCCCACUGGAGACCCAUGCUGGUCCCUGUGACUAAUAGCACGUGGAAGAAACAAUGACAAAUGACUCUCAAGGUUACAUCAUAAAGGACACAACUCUGCCCCGCCUUAGGGAAUCCAGCAGCCUUGCCAGAGGGGUACUUAAGCACCCCAGGGAGAGGCCCACCUGAAGAGUAACUGGGGCCUCCUACAAACAACCAGCAGGAACUUGCCAGCUUGGCGAAUGGCCCACCUUGGAUGUGGACCCAUCAACCCAGUGAAGCCUUCAGAUGACUGCAGCCCGGAUGACUCUAACUGCAAUUUCACCAGAGACCUUUAGCCAGAACUGCCCAGUCACACUUCUCCUGAGUGCCUGGCCCACAUGGGAUCCCAUUUGAGAUGUUGGCAUUGAAAAUAUGAGACCUAAUAAAUGUUUAUCGUGGUUUGAAGCAA
rnacentral:lncRNA from 1 species